GACGAACGCUGGCGGCGUGCCUAAUACAUGCAAGUCGAGCGGACGGAUGGGAGCUUGCUCCCAGACCGUCAGCGGCGGACGGGUGAGUAACACGUGGGCAACCUGCCUGUAAGACUGGGAUAACUCCGGGAAACCGGGGCUAAUACCGGAUAACUCUUUCCCUCACAUGAGGGAAAGCUGAAAGAUGGCAUCUCGCUAUCACUUACAGAUGGGCCCGCGGCGCAUUAGCUAGUUGGUGAGGUAACGGCUCACCAAGGCGACGAUGCGUAGCCGACCUGAGAGGGUGAUCGGCCACACUGGGACUGAGACAAGGCCCAGACUCCUACGGGAGGCAGCAGUAGGGAAUCUUCCGCAAUGGACGAAAGUCUGACGGAGCAACGCCGCGUGAGUGAUGAAGGUUUUCGGAUCGUAAAACUCUGUUGUCAGGGAAGAACAAGUACCGGAGCAACUGCCGGUACCUUGACGGUACCUGACCAGAAAGCCACGGCUAACUACGUG
rnacentral:rRNA from 1 species